rnacentral:rRNA from 1 species
AUUGAACGCUGGCGGCAGGCUUAACACAUGCAAGUCGAGCGAGCGGCGGACGGGUGAGUAAUGUCUGGGAAACUGCCUGAUGGAGGGGGCUAACUACUGGAAACGGUAGCUAAUACCGCAUACCAUCAGAUGUGCCCAGAUGGGAUUAGCUAGUCGGUGGGGUAAUGGCUCACCUAGGCGACGCUCCCUAGCUGGUCUGAGAGGAUGACCAGCCACACUGGAACGGAGACACGGGCCAGACUCCGACGGGAGGCAGCAGUGGGGAAUAUUGCACAAUGGGCGCAAGCCUGAUGCAGCCAUGCCGCGUGUGUGAAGAAGGCCUGCGGGUUGUAAAGCACUUUCAGCGAGGAGGCGUUACUCGCAGAAGAAGCACCGGCUAACUCCGGGCCAGCAGCCGCGGUAAUUC